rnacentral:lncRNA from 1 species
CUUUGAUCUCUAUUGAUUACUUCUUACAGGUAUGGCAUAAAGUAAGUUCCUUUCUUUUUUGGUUAUUUUAGAAGCCCUUAUUUUUUUUCUCUCAACAAGCUACUGUUAAGUCAUAACCCCCUUUCUCCUUCUCUGAUUCCCUGCCCUAAACCCUCUCAGUGAAAGAACUUUGACAUUCAUCACAUUCUAUAACUGCCCUGUCUUUAUACUUCUAAUCAGCACAGAGCUGUCACUUCAAAUUCCCUGAGAAACUCUCAAGUUUUAGGGAUUUGAGGACUCACUGCUCUGUAUCUGAUAAAAAAAAAUCUGAUGUCCACUUUGACAACCGCCUUCUGUAGCUAUAUCUACUACACUGCCAACCUACAAAGUUACAACAACUUGCCUGAAGCCACACAACUAGUUUCUUGAAUACUGAAGAAUUUCACCUCUAUGUUGAGUCUUCUCUAAAGAAGAUAAAAAAGACUUAGAAAAUGAUGAACCAUCUUAAGAAGAAUUUGAUUGUUGUCAUCUGAACUUUUUUACUGUUGUUGUUUUUGAAGAGGUGCCUUGGCAGGAGUGGUGGCUCAGAACCUGUGAUUUUAUCUGGAUAGGGGACCAGUACUUUUGGUGUGAAAAUUCCCUCUACCAUUCUGUACUGUUGCUUCCCUGCUGGCUGCCUGGUCAGAGCCCCGAACUUCUGUGCUGGUACCAAGGCACUCUGUCACUGCUGCAGCCUUCACCCUGGAAUCCUAGUCAGCUGGAUUCUUACCACAGGUCUCAGUGCAGUAGAUGUGGAGGGACAUUGGAGACUGAGCUUUUCUGUCCUUUGCUGGCUUAUUAUCUAAAUUAUUGCUAGACUGUAUUAAGCUGAUCUGUAGUGGAUCCACUCUGAGGCCAAAACCUCCAGAGGCAGAGACUCAAGAUAUAGGAGUGGUGGCUGAACCAAGAUGCCCUCCUCCCUGUCCAUCUUCUCCAGCUGCCUCCCUUCCAUCUGUGUGUGGUCAGAGCCUUGAGCCUUGAAUAGCUGUGGUAGCAAGGCACUCCCUCCAGACUGGAGCCCUCACCCCAAGGUCAUAGCAUCUGGUAGAAUCUCAGCACAGUAGGUGGGGGAAAGGGUUUUGGGAUGCUCCUUUUUUAUUUUCCUUAAACCUGAGAAUUCAGCCUUUUCUGUGUACCUUGCAAGUUGAAUCAAGCAGGAACAUCCCUGAACUCUGUCCUGUUUUUGUAUUUUUUUUUUGUUUCCCACUCGAAACACUUUUUUUUUUUGAUUGGUGUGAAAGGGUUUUCCCAGAGAACAUGACAUCUUGACUCCCAAAAUGACUAUGAAGUAUUGUAAAUGAAAAAAAUACAUAAUUUAUAUUUGAUCUUGGAAAUAAUAAGGAGCCACUGGAGUUUAUUUAAAGGAGGGGAAGUGUGGACAUGAUUAGAAUUGUGUUUUUGAGCAAUCAAUUUGAAAUCCUAUGAGUUGAAGCUUUGAUAGUGUUAGGGGUAAAAUUAGGGUUGUUGGCUUAAUAUGUUAUUUUACUGGUCACUAGGGAUUUAAAUUCAAUCCCAAUAAAAUACUGAAGUCAGUUUGGCA